CUGCUUCAAAAUUUGAACUCAGAAACUAAAGAGCAAGUUAUUAGAAAUAUAACAACUAUUUCUGUUAACCGGGAAGUUAUGUAAAGAUUCUUGCCAGAAGUGCAUCACCACAUCUGCCGAAAGAAGACUCUUGAGAAGCGAGAGCAAGAGAGCGAGAGCUAGAGAGAGAGAUUGCCGGAAGUAGCUUUCUGCUGUAGAAGAGAAGCGGAAGCAUUCUGAAGUCGUCACGAGUAAGUGUUGAUGAUACUUGGGCCAAUCGAUCUGCCGUCUAAUCUCUCGCAGCAAACACUUGGAACGAUAGAGAAUCAGUCACGAGCUGGCACUAGAGCAAUAAACAGUACUAAUUCAAGGUCCGGUGUUCAAGCCAACCUUGGCAUGUGUUAUUCAAAACAGUAUAUACAAUCUCUACUUAAGAUCAAUGACUGAGCAGUUUACUGCUCUCUGUGCAUACUUCUGCUCGCUCACUUGCUGAGGUUUAUCGGAAAAAGAAAGUGUUCAUGAAGAUGGGAGAAAUAGAAACGGAAGAAGGAAGCAUUAAUUGACGUCAAUUGUAUCAAAGGACGACGAGAUGAAAGUAUAAGACAGUAUUAGAUAUGAAAAUGUACGGUGACGCCAUGAGAUGAGACAAGGAGAAGAACGCUGUUUGCUUUUAGUUUUGUUUGUUUGUGA